rnacentral:rRNA from 1 species
CCUACGGGAGGCAGCAGUGGGGAAUAUUGGACAAUGGGCGAAAGCCUGAUCCAGCCAUGCCGCGUGUGUGAAGAAGGUCUUCGGAUUGUAAAGCACUUUAAGUUGGGAGGAAGGGCAGUUACCUAAUACGUAAUUGUUUGACGUACCGACANANAGCCCCGAUUU